UAGCGUGGGUAACCUACCCUGUACACACGGAUAACAUACCGAAAGGUAUGCUAAUACGGGAUAAUAUAUUUGAGAGGCAUCUCUUGAAUAUCAAAGGUGAGCCAGUACAGGAUGGACCCGCGUCUGAUUAGCUAGUUGGUAAGGUAACGGCUUACCAAGGCGACGAUCAGUAGCCGACCUGAGAGGGUGAUCGGCCACAUUGGAACUGAGACACGGUCCAA
rnacentral:rRNA from 1 species